GUGGGUCGGUGGAUGAUAUUUAUUUUUUAAAGUUUCAAAUAUUUUAAUUGGAUAUAAAUGAAACUAGCUAGGGACUAUAAAUAAGAGUAUAGCCAAACUCUAUAAGACUGCGUAUAUACUUGCUUCGAAAGAUAAAUUUAAGAGAAACAAGAGUGAAAAGAAGGACUCGGUGGGCUGGUGGCCAUGUAAGGACGAGUAAAUUACAUCUCACUUAAGGUUUAUAGGUGUGAUCGACUAGUGUAUGUUUAAGGGCAUUAAGGAAUAAAUUCCCGUUAGCAAACUGCUUCCUCCUAAGUUUUCAAAGGAUCAUAUAAAGUUGCAAUCAUUCUCUUUUUCGAGAUUUAUUAAGGGACUAGUGACGGGAUAACAGGCCUUAAGCAGCGGGAUUUGAGGCAAUAGACAGGGAACAUUGAUUGUAAGUUUGAUGAGCUGGGUCAGUUCUGGUAUGUAUACUGCGAGGGGCUAUGGAUGAGCAGACGGUCUAGAACGGCGGUGGAGCCUUGGUUUUGUUUUAUUUUUUUAUUAUAGUAAAGUAUUCUGAGCUCAGCGGGAUGUUGUAAAUUUAUUUUAAAAAAAUGCACUCAACUACUUAUUUUAUUUUAAUAUGAAUGAUCAUUCGUCUUUGGCA